GACGAACCGAGCGAACGUUGUUCGGAAUCACUGGGCUUAAAGGGCGCGUAGGCGGGCAGUCAAGUCAGGGGUGAAAUCCCACGGCUCAACCGUGGAAGUGCCUUUGAUACUGGCUGUCUGGAGGGAGGUAGGGGCGUGCGGAACUUCCGGUGGAGCGGUGAAAUGCGUAGAUAGUCGGAAGGAACGCCGGUGGCGAAAGCGGCG
rnacentral:rRNA from 1 species